AAAAGUAUUGGGCUGCAUAUAAAUAAUAGAUUAAUUUAUUUUAUAAUAUAAUUUUUUUUGGUAUUAUCGAAAUUCCAUACCCAAACAAUAUGUUGAAACGUAAUUUGGAGAAACUCUUUUAAAUCUGCCAGUCUACUGAAACUAUCGAAAACUUAGCCUCAAUUGUCAUAAACGCAUUUUCCGUCAAGAAAAGUGUCACAUCGGCCUACCAGAGCUGGAUGAGUCAGCAUUUCGCCGACAUGACAUUAUACUAACGUGGAAUAUGAAAAUAAAAUUUAAAAAGUCACAAACUCACUCGCAUCACAAGAAGAGAGCUUUUCUCAAAAUCCCCAAUCUCACCAAAAACCCCAGCUCAACUUCUAUCCUCUUCGUCAAUGGAUUCCACCAACACAGCUUCGAUCCCUCCUCUGCAUGAGAACCCAGCUCCCGGCGGCAUCCAGCCUAAUCCGGCACCCGAGUCUCACACCGAUGGACAUCCCACUGCAUCCGUCGGUAAUAGUUAGAUCGCAGCUCCUAAUUUCGACCUCACCAAGCCGUUGUUGUCCAAGAAUGGCCUAACAAACACCAACACUAACAUGUAAUGUCCACAAUAGGAUUCCGGCGGAAUAGAUUGAAUCGGAGAGACAACAAAAGAGGAUUAGGUAGGGAGAGAGAGAAGAGGAAGGGAAAGAGUUGAGAGGGAGAGAGAGAGAUUCAGGCAGAGCAUGGAUUUUCGUUCAUUAAUUGAUCUUCUCCAAAGGCAGCUAUAGCUAAAUAGCAGCACAGAGACUGGACAGUUUCCUGCUACAGUAAUAAUGACAGAAUAACGGUUAAAAAGGGAAAGUUUCCCACUUUAGGUAAAAAUAGUAGUUAAGUUAGAUGUCUAAAUCAUUACAAGCCCCACUUGUAAAAUCCAACUUGUCUCAAG
rnacentral:lncRNA from 1 species